ACGCAUCUGUCCGGAAUGGUAUCGGCCUCCGCUGUUAACGGAAGAGCCCGUAAGGGAGUGCAGGUUCGAGUCCUGCGAUGCGUGCCA
rnacentral:tRNA from 1 species